rnacentral:rRNA from 1 species
AGAGCGAACGCUGGCGGCAGGCUUAACACAUGCAAGUCGAGCGCCCGUAGCAAUGCGGGAGCGGCAGACGGGUGAGUAACACGUGGGAACGUGCCUUUUGGUUCGGAACAACUGAGGGAAACUUCAGCUAAUACCGGAUAAGCCCUUACGGGAAAGAUUUAUCGCCAAGAGAUCGGCCCGCGUCUGAUUAGCUAGUUGGUGGGGUAAUGGCCCACCAAGGCUACGAUCAGUAGCUGGUCUGAGAGGAUGAUCAGCCACACUGGGACUGAGACACGGCCCAGACUCCUACGGGAGCAGCAGUGGGAAUCUGGACAAGUGGGCGCAAGCCUGAUCCAGCAGUGCCGUGUGAGUGAUGAGGCCGUUAGGUUAGUAAG